AGACCUGAGCCAAAAUCAAGCAUUGGACAUUCAACUAACUGAGCCACCUAGAGGUCCCAUUCAGUUCCAGUUUAAAAGAUGAAAUUCAGAACCAUUGUGUUCGGAGAUCUUGUUAAGCCUUGUGCAUCACAACUUUUUGGUGUUGAGUGUCAACAUUUUAAGUUUUGACAUCAAAUUUAUUCUGUUGUUGGUGCUUAAAUUUUAAACAAAAUAAUUGCAAACAAAUUAAAUGUUUGGGAUUUUACCAUCUAUGCCCUCUGAAGUCUCUCAGAGCAGCCCCAACAAUGAUGGGAGUGUUCUUGCAGGCACCAACUACAUAGGCAUGUCCCUCUCUUCACCAGAAGUUUUGCCAGCCACCAGAUCCUUGCUACAGCUGCUGUUCUUCCCAAGGGCAGGCCAGUCUUCUUUCUGUCUCUUAUUAGUUGACAAUGCCAGUUGCAGAGAAUCAUACCAGACCACACACCAGUGUGGCAGUUGUACAAGUGGGAAAAUAGAAAGAUUACCCCACUAGUUGUGAUUAAAAAUUCUUAUGCUUAUAGAUGUAGCUUAAAAUGAUACAAGGUUCUGAAAAUGCAGAACAAGAACACAAAUAAGUUCUGUAAGAUUCUAAAAUAUAGAGUUGGAACCAAAAUAACUUUUAUAACCAUUCCUGGGAGGAUGCCCUCCCAAGUCAUUCUAGCCCACACUUAGAAAAUAAGGUUUAUUUUUAAUUUUGGUACCUUUCUGAGUUAUUCUAGGAAGAUUUUCUUAGGGAUUUUCCAGUGUCAUUAGAUGCCACAAAGUAUAUGUUGCAAAAAGCUAGAUUUCUUCUGCAUAUUCUUGAAGAUAAAUCCAGGAGACUCCAUGAGCUUACUGUUUACACCAGCCCAGGCUGGGCUGUAAGAUGUCAGAGUGAUGUUGCUUCUGGUAGUGAUGAUCCUGAACAAGUUCAGGAAAGGGGCUGUUGUAUCACAUUUUUAUUAAUAGUUGCACAUCUUGAGAUCUGAUUCAUGCCUACUCGUGGGUCUUUGAGCCCUUACUAAUUUGCGUAAGUGCUCAGAACCAUGAUAAUAUUAUUUCUUCAUUUUAUUUCAUCAUAUUUUGUAUUAAGAGAAAAGCAGCACAUAGAUUUUUGAUAAGCAAAUGUUGGCUCAACUGAUGAAGUAUAACCAGUAGCAGAAAGUUACCUGUUAGCGUAACAAUGGGGAAGAUAAAAAUACCGGUAAUUCAGUAUUUGCAGUCUUUUUCACGCAUAAUUUCAUAGUUUCUUUAAGAUUCAGAGAAGCUAAACUCUCAUCAUUUUGUCAGAUUGAAAGUAACAUUUAUUGUGAACCAAGUAUUCCUAACAUUUUCUUCAGUGGCCUAAAAGAAGGUCGUAGCUUUCAUUUUAUUUCCAAAGUGAUUCUUAGAUGGUCAGGUCCCCUGAAAAUUGAGGUGGAGAGUAUGAACUGGAGGUGAUCCAUUGUCUCCGAAACACAGUCCCAAAGGGGAAACUGAGAAGCAAAACCUUCCAUGAAGCCCUGCUCCUUUCCCUAGACUGGCUGUACUCCAUUCCUCUUCCUUGGAAGAAAGUGAAGGAAGGAAGGUGAGGAGAGAGGGAACUGGCAGUCGUGUGAUGGGACCUGUGCCACUGGCUUGGGUGAGCCAACUGUGUGUACCUCUUUCCAAACUCACAUUAAGUAAUCUGUUGAUACCUUAAAAUAAGCCACGUUGGAAGUAUUUAUAGCAUUGAAAUCGGGGGUGCUACAAAUCAGGAGCUCCCUUUCCCCACCCCAGAGACUAGGUUGCUAAGAUUUAUUAGCAUUCCACUGAUGAUCUACUGUUGAAAGGAACCUUGUAUAUCACAACCUUACCAUCAUUAUCACCUCCUGAUUAAGACUCAGUAUAGGUAAAAUUUCUAAAGACCUUGACUGUAAUCUGCCUUAUUCAAACCUUUGUGUAGUAAAGAUGCAUAGAAUUGGAAUAAUGUGCUAUUUAAGUUACUUGUGAUGCAUUUGCUUCCUAUAUAAUUUUACCUUCUUAGAUUUCUCAGUGUAUUGUUAGUUUUCUUUUCACACUCCACUCUUCUUUUUUUAAAAAAAUUCCAUUCUCCGUGAUCCUUUCUUGAUUACUCUAGUCUUCUCAGUGUAGACUCUGACAUUUUAUGAAGAACAUUCAUGUGCACGCUGCUUGAUUAGUAUGAUCUAAGCCAUCAAACGGUAUUAUAGACUCAUUUCAGCCAAGGCACUAAUUGAAUAAAUCAUU